rnacentral:rRNA from 1 species
CGGUAAUUCCAGCUCCAAUAGCGUAUACUAAAGUUGUUGCAGUUAAAAAGCUCGUAGUUGGAUUUCUGCGGGGACGGAGCGGCCGGUCGCAACUUGCGACUCGAGCCAGCGCUUUCCCCGCAUCCUGCCGCGAACCCUGCUACCAUUAGCUUGGUGGCGCUGGGGAUCGGCUCGAUUACUUUGAGAAAAAUAGAGUGUUCAAAGCAGGCCACACGCCUUGAAUAAGUUAGCAUGGAAUAAUGACUAAGGACUUUGGUUCUUUUCGUUGGUGUUCGGGACUGAAGUAAUGAUUGAUAGGGACAGUUGGGGCGGUCCGUAUUCCAAAGCGAGAGGUGAAAUUCUUAGACCUUCGGAAGACGAACAGCUGCGAAAGCGUUCCGCAAGGAUGUUCCCUUUGAUCAAGAACGAAAGUUGGGGGGUCGAAGACGAUCAGAUACCGUCGUAGUCUCAACUAUAAACUAUACCAGCUAGGGAUCAGCCAACGUUUAAUUAUUCGACUUGGUCGGCACCUUAUGAGAAAUCAAAGCAUCUGGGUUCCGGGGGGAGUAUGGUCGCAAGGCUGAAACUUAAAGGAAUUGACGGAAGGGCACCACCAGCCGUGGAGCCUGUGGCUUAAUUUGACUCAACACGGGAAAACUUACCAGGUCCGGACAUAGUAAGGAUUGACAGAUUGAUAGCUCUUUCUUGAUUCUGUGGGUGGUGGUGCAUGGCCGUUUUUAGUCGGUGGAUGUGAUCUGUCUGCUUAAUUGCGUUAACGGACGAGACCCCAGCCUGCUAAAUAGCGCGGCCGAGCUUUGCUCGGUGCGAGCUUCUUAGAGGGACCAUGAUGCGCGAUAGCACAAGGAAGUUUGGGGCAACAACAGGUCUGUGAUGCCCUUAGAUGUUCUGGGCCGCUCACGAGCUACACUGGCGCCUGCAACGAGCAUAUCAGCUGGCCCGAGAGGGUCUUGGCUAAUCUUUGGAACCGGCGCCGUGCUUGGGAUUGACCAUUGCAAUUGUUGGUCAUGCAACGAGGAAUGCCUUGUAAACGCGAGUCAUCAGCUCGCAUUGAAUACGUCCCUGCCCUUUGUACACACCGCCCGUCGCUCCUACCGAUGAAUGUUCCGAUGAAAUUUUCGGAGAGCACCAGAGAACGGGGCUCUGCCUUGCAGAUCUGGAGGCUCAAAGUCACUUAAAUCUGAACAUUUCGAGGAAGGAGAAGUCGUAACAAGGUAACC